rnacentral:rRNA from 1 species
UACGUAGGGUGCAAGCGUUGUCCGGAAUUAUUGGGCGUAAAGAGCUCGUAGGCGGUUUGUCGCGUCUGCUGUGAAAACUCGGGGCUUAACCCCGGGCCUGCAGUGGGUACGGGCAGACUAGAGUGCGGUAGGGGGAGACUGGAAUUCCUGGUGUAGCGGUGAAAUGCGCAGAUAUCAGGAGGAACACCGGUGGUGUAAAGCGGCUUUCUGGGACCUAAUGAACCUGACGCUGAGGCACGAAAGCGUGGGGUAGCAAACAGG